rnacentral:rRNA from 1 species
GAUGAACGCUGGCGGCGUGCCUAAUACAUGCCAGUCGAGCGAGCGGACGAGAAGCUUGCUUUUCUGAUGUUAGCGGCGGACGGGUGAGUAACACGUGGAUAACCUACCUAUAAGACUGGGAUAACUUCGGGAAACCGGAGCUAAUACCGGAUAAUAUUUUGAACCGCAUGGUUCAAAAGUGAAAGACGGUCUUGCUGUCACUUAUAGAUGGAUCCGCGCUGCAUUAGCUAGUUGGUAAGGUAACGGCUUACCAAGGCAACGAUGCAUAGCCGACCUGAGAGGGUGAUCGGCCACACUGGAACUGAGACACGGUCCAGACUCCUACGGGAGGCAGCAGUAGGGAAUCUUCCGCAAUGGGCGAAAGCCUGACGGAGCAACGCCGCGUGAGUGAUGAAGGUCUUCGGAUCGUAAAACUCUGUUAUUAGGGAAGAACAUAUGUGUAAGUAACUGUGCACAUCUUGACGGUACCUAAUCAGAAAGCCACGGCUAACUACGUG